UCCCACUCGCUGCUCCAAAGAAGGUAAUUUCUUUCCAUUUUAAUUUCGUCGCUUAGUUUCUUACCUUAUAAUUGGAUCAUUAUAGGUUGUUUGAAUUGAUUGCUCGUUGUGAUUUUAUCUUGAUACUAAAUGAUGUUAUUGGACUCAUGAGACGAGUUUCUACUUUGGGCUGGCUGACCAACAUUUUGUAUUACCUUGCUUGAACAUUCUGUUGGAUAGUUGUAUUGAUCGAGUACGCUAUAGUUCUUGUUCAUACUAUUGCCAAUUUGAGUUACUGGUUGUUCGCUGCAAAGAGAGUUCAGAUUGAGUUGUGUCGUGGAUCCAUAGUUUCGUCUAAUUUUUAUGCUCGUAUAAGGUUCUGCCUGUCCAUGUUCAACAUGACAUGUUCUAUUUUAAAAUCUAGGUCCAGCUUUUGGAUAACCCAUUAGGUUCUUUGAUGGAGUUCAAGCAAGAAAAUCAUAAUCUGGGUGUUUCGACAUGUUUUGUUAGGGACGGUUUGGCUUUAUAUUGUUUAGCUUUAGCCUUUAGCUUGGUAUCUUUUAAACAAAUUGUAGCUAAUGUAAUAAAAAUUGCUUUGAGUUUCGGUUUAUGUUAUUUGGUCGUAUGAACUCUUAUCAAUCCUAGCAUUUGUGCUCAUUAAUUUUUUAGUAUUCCGGUAGCUUGUGAAUAUAUUAAGUAUGAAUGUAUAGUCAUUCAUUUAUCAUGAUUUUCUCAUAGUUUGCCUCAGUAACCAUCAGGAGUAAUACCGUUCCUUUGUUUGCUUAGAUAUGAAUACAACCUUUCCUCAAUUUUUGUAAACCGAUGCAAUACAAAUUCCAAAAAUGAUAAAAAUGAUCAUGAUUUAAUACAAUAUCUAGAGUUUCAUUUAUUUAUUUUUCGAGAAGAGUAGUUGUGGUAUCUCUUUUAGUAGAAAGAGUAACUUUGUAAAAUCUGAAAACAGUAGCAUAGUAUUCCCUGUAGCAUGUCCUCCGAUAAAUGAAUUUGAUGAAUUCUUUAAGUGGGAUUAUCUUUCUUAUUAACUUGUCAUUUGUGUGUCCUCAAGGAGUUAUAUGACUUGUUUUCAUUUGUUUGUAGCUUGUCAAAAUUGAUCAUAUUUUGUAGUUUCUAUCUCCCAGUUGGUUAGCUUAGGAUCAUUUAAGUUAAGUUCAAUAUUUUGUUGUAAAUGGUGCUCAAUUGUUUCUUCUUUUAUUUUCGAGUUAUUCUACUAAUUUUCUCCCUUUCUUUUGUUACAUAUGACAUCAACU
rnacentral:lncRNA from 1 species